GAUCCUCUCUGUUGUGAUUCAUCCCCCCCGGGCCCUACAGUUUCUCCUUCCUGACUCUUACAUUUCUUUGGAUGGCAUCAUUAUUUUAGGUGCCAAGCACUGUGGAUUCUGCCCCUCAGUGUCCAGACACCCAUUUUCCUUCCCACUGUUCCUUCCCCAUGGAGAAGCCUGUGGCUGGCUGACAGCAGAGAGAGAUGCUCAACUUGGAGAAGGUGUUACCUGGGCCAGGUGGGGAAGGUUUGUUUGCAGAGCAAAGAAGUGAAGCCAGCCACCUCAAGAAAGAACAGUUCAUGUGCAGGUGACCAUGUAGUUCAAGUCAUCAUUAAAUCCAAAGCUGAGCAGCCAUGAUGCUAUUGGUGGAAUUGCCCUUGACCAAGAGAAAUCCAUCUUGAUUGUCUCAAUAAUCGGCUCAAGGGCCAUUGAUGAUGAGGUCCUAAAUUUAAUUCCUAAUAAAACCCCUAAAGUUUUAGAGGCAAAAUGAGAAAGCAUAGCUCACAAAUGCCUUGUGACCAAUGACUUGCCUAUUCAACGUGAAAAAGAUGAGGAUGAAGACCUUUAUUAUGAUCCACUUCCAAGUAAUGAACA
rnacentral:antisense_RNA from 1 species